CUCUGCUGUACACAACCACUACACACCCAUAUAGGUCUCUGCUGUACACAACCACUACACAACCAUAUAGGUCUCUGCUGUACACAACCACUACACAACCACAAUACAACCAUAUGGGUCUCUGCUGUACACAACCACUACACACCCAUAUAGGUCUCUGCUGUACACAACCACUACACAACCAUAUAGGUCUCUGCUGUACACAACCACUACACAACCACAAUACAACCAUAUGGGUCUCUGCUGUACACAACCACUACACACCCAUAUAGGUCUCUG